rnacentral:lncRNA from 1 species
GGCUCAACAAGCAGGCAAACUUAAUGAUAUGCCACAUAGUGUUGAAAUGAAGGCCAAAUUGUGUAUUGUCGUAUUAGAGGAUUAUGGAAACAAUCUAGGUCAAGCAAAAGACAACAAUGCAAAUAAAAUCUAUGGAAUGGCUUAUAUGCUGUGGGAUAUCAUAACAUCAUGAGAAAGCAAGCAUAUUUGACAAAUGGCAAAAGAGACAUGAGUUGAUGUUCUUGGAUUGGUCUCUACAAUGGCUUGCUUUUCAUGAA